UAGUCAAUGAACUUGUAUAAGUAUUUACUUUGAAAGUAAAAAAAAGAAAUAAUAUUUUCUAUUGACU
rnacentral:tRNA from 1 species